rnacentral:sRNA from 1 species
AGUACUGUGGUAACAAUGAAACAUAACUCUGGCCUAAACCCAACUGAACAUGUUCUUUCAUAAUAGCUGGUAAAUUAAUCUGAGGCCAAGCAAUAAAUGGCCCAGAUUAUUCAUCAGCAUGGCUACCUGCUAAUGAAUCAUUGUGGCAGGCCACAACUGUUCCAUCUAACCAUCGAAAUAACCAUAUCAGGAGACACAGUAUAGCUUCUGACAGUGGAGACACUGGCAUUGGAACUUCCUGUUCUGAUAGCGUGGAAGAUCAUUCAACUUCAAGUGGCACAUUAUCUUUUAAGCCUAGUCAAUCAUUGAUUACUCUUCCUACUGCCCAUGUGAUGCCGUCUAAUUCCAGCGCUUCAAUUUCCAAACAUAGGGAAUCAUUGACACCAGAUGGCUCAAAAUGGAGUACAAGCCUCAUGCAAACAUUGGGAAAUCACAGUAGGGGGGAGCAGGACUCUUCACUAGACAUGAAGGACUUCCGGCCAC